UACGUAGGGUGCAAGCGUUGUCCGGAAUUAUUGGGCGUAAAGAGCUUGUAGGCGGUUUGUCGCGUCUGCUGUGAAAUUUCGGGGCUCAACCCCGAACUUGCAGUGGGUACGGGCAGACUAGAGUGUGGUAGGGGAGACUGGAAUUCCUGGUGUAGCGGUGAAAUGCGCAGAUAUCAGGAGGAACACCGAUGGCGAAGGCAGGUCUCUGGGCCAUAACUGACGCUGAGAAGCGAAAACAUGGGGAGCGAACAGG
rnacentral:rRNA from 1 species